CACUCCUGCGGGAGGCAGCAGUGGGGAAUUUUGGACAAUGGGCGAAAGCCUGAUCCAGCAAUGCCGCGUGAGUGAAGAAGGCCUUCGGGUUGUAAAGCUCUUUUGUCAGGGAAGAAACGGUGAAAGCUAAUAUCUUUUGCUAAUGACGGUACCUGAAGAAUAAGCACAGGCUAACUACGUGCCAGCAGCCGCGGUAAUACGUAGGGUGCAAGCGUUAAUCGGAAUUACUGGGCGUAAAGCGUGCGCAGGCGGUUUUGUAAGUCUGAUGUGAAAUCCCCGGGCUCAACCUGGGAAUUGCAUUGGAGACUGCAAGGCUAGAAUCUGGCAGAGGGGGGUAGAAUUCCACGUGUAGCAGUGAAAUGCGUAGAUAUGUGGAGGAACACCGAUGGCGAAGGCAGCCCCCUGGGUCAAGAUUGACGCUCAUGCACGAAAGCGUGGGGAGCAAACAGGAUUAGAAACCCUGGUAGUCCCA
rnacentral:rRNA from 1 species